CGUGUAGGCGGGUCUUUAAGUCAGGGGUGAAAUGCCAGGGCUCAACCUUGGAACCGCCUUUGAUACUGGAGAUCUUGAGUCCGGGAGAGGUGAGUGGAACUGCGAGUGUAGAGGUGAAAUUCGUAGAUAUUCGCAAGAACACCAGUGGCGAAGGCGGCUCACUGGCCCGGAACUGACGCUGAGACGCGAAAGCGUGGGGAGCAAACAGGAUUAGAUACCCUGGUAGUCCACGCUGUAAACGAUGGAUGCUAGCCGUUGGGGAGCUUGCUCUUCAGUGGCGCAGCUAACGCUUUAAGCAUCCCGCCUGGGGAGUACGGUCGCAAGAUUAAA
rnacentral:rRNA from 1 species